UACGGAGGGGGCUAGCGUUGUUCGGAAUUACUGGGCGUAAAGCGCACGUAGGCGGCUUUGUAAGUUAGAGGUGAAAGCCCAGGGCUUAACCCUGGAAUUGCCUUUAAGACUGCAUCGCUAGAAUCGUGGAGAGGUGAGUGGAAUUCCGAGUGUAGAGGUGAAAUUCGUAGAUAUUCGGAAGAACACCAGUGGCGAAGGCGACUCACUGGACACGUAUUGACGCUGAGGUGCGAAAGCGUGGG
rnacentral:rRNA from 1 species